rnacentral:lncRNA from 1 species
UGGAAUCUUAGAGAAAAUUGGCUUUCUAAGGGAUGGAUUUUCAAGUUACAUCAGCAGAGCCUGUGGAAGCCAAACCAAAUGCCACUGUCAGUUUUUGAAUCACAAGUUUACUCGUAACUUCAGAGAACUCUCCUGGCCUCUUCUGGUGAAGAAAUAUCCACAUGUCAGCUGGGAUUGCUGCAUCAUCAGAGAUCCUUCUAGAAGCUGCCGAGGAGCUUGGGGAAGUUGUUGGUGUUGUCAGCAAAGAGCUUCCACAUGAACAGGGAAGGUCAUAGCGCAACCUUCAAACAGGUACAAGUGUCUCUUACAUCAGCGAGAAAUGAGUGCAAGUAGAAACCCGCACACUUGUGUGUGAUUUUUAAACCUCUCUCUGUCAUGUG